rnacentral:rRNA from 1 species
CAAUAGCGUAUAUUAAAGUUGUUGCAGUUAAAAAGCUCGUAGUUGGAUUUCUGAUCGAGACAUCAGGUCGGGUCCGAGAGGAUCAUGUACUUUGAUUUUGUUUUGAUCAUCCUUGGGGAGAGCAUUUCUGGCAUUCAGUUGUCGGGAUUGGGAUCCUCAUCGUUUACUGUGAAAAAAUUAGAGUGUUCAAAGCAGGCCUCGGCCUCUGAAUACAUUAGCUUGGAAUAAUAAGAUAGGACUUUGGUGGUCUAUUUUGUUGGUUUGCACGCCAAAGUAAUGAUUAAUAGGGAUAGUUGGGGGUAUUCGUAUUCAAUUGUCAGAGGUGAAAUUCUUGGAUUUAUGGAAGACGAACUACUGCGAAAGCAUUUACCAAGGAUGUUUUCAUUAA